rnacentral:rRNA from 1 species
GAGAUAUGAGCUGUCUUAAAGGUAUUUUCUAUUGAAUUUAGUUUUUGAGUUAAAAUUCUUAGAUGUUUUUAUGGGACGAGAAGACCCUAUAGAGUUUUACAUCUAGCUCUUCCUUCUUAUUAUGUUUGUUUAUUUAUUUUGAGUUGGUUAGGUGUUUUGUUGGGGUGAUGGGAGGAACAAAAUUAACUCCUCCUUGAUUUUGUAUAUUUAUUUAUAUUUGUUUUGAUCCAUUUAUUUUGAUUAUAAGAUUAAAUU